UACGAAGGGGGCUAGCGUUGCUCGGAAUCACUGGGCGUAAAGGGUGCGUAGGCGGGUUUUUAAGUCAGAGGUGAAAUCCUGGAGCUCAACUCCAGAACUGCCUUUGAUACUGAAAGUCUUGAGUAUGGGAGAGGUGAGUGGAACUGCGAGUGUAGAGGUGAAAUUCGUAGAUAUUCGCAAGAACACCAGUGGCGAAGGCGGCUCACUGGCCCAUUACUGACGCUGAGGCACGAAAGCGUGGGGAGCAAACAGGG
rnacentral:rRNA from 1 species